GGAGAUUUAGCUUAGUGGCAUAAGCUUCUGCUUUGUAAGCAGGCAGUCGUGAGUUCAAUCCCCG
rfam:Cavia porcellus supercont2_92 genomic scaffold, whole genome shotgun sequence.